GAUGAACGCUGGCGGCGUGCCUAAUACAUGCAAGUCGAGCGAACAGAUGAGGAGCUUGCUCCUCUGACGUUAGCGGCGGACGGGUGAGUAACACGUGGAUAACCUACCUAUAAGACUGGGAUAACUUCGGGAAACCGGAGCUAAUACCGGAUAAUAUAUUGAACCGCAUGGUUCAAUAGUGAAAGACGGUUUUGCUGUCACUUAUAGAUGGAUCCGCGCCGCAUUAGCUAGUUGGUAAGGUAACGGCUUACCAAGGCAACGAUGCGUAGCCGACCUGAGAGGGUGAUCGGCCACACUAGAGCUGAGACCCGGUCCAGACUCCUACGGGAGGCAGAAGUAGGGAAUCUUCCGCAAUGGGCGAAAGCCUGACGGAGCAACGCCGCGUGAGUGAUGAAGGUCUUCGGAUCGUAAAGCUCUGUUAUUAGGGAAGAACAAAUGUGUAAGUAACUAUGCACGUCUUGACGGUACCUAAUCAGAAAGCCACGGCUAACUACGUG
rnacentral:rRNA from 1 species